UGUUCUCUGUUUUGUGGGCUGAAUAUUUUUGAGCAGGGAUGGCAUUAUUUAGAGCUUUUUAUUGGUAGCCUACUGAGUGCUCAAACCUGUGCUAGUCCCUAUAGGGAAUAUGGAAAGACUUCUUGGAGCCAUUAUUAUGCUAGUGUCCAUUGUGAUGCUCCUGGCAAGGGCAUUCUCCUAUUCCUAUGACCACAGAGCUUCCCCUUCCCCUUUGCCCUGAAGAUUCUCUCAUGGGACUAGUGUUUCAUUGAAUAACAUGUUGGUUAUGUGUAGCAUGCUGGUUACGUGUAGCAUGCUGGUUAUGUGUAGCAUGCUGGUUAUGUGUGGCAUGCUGGUUACGUGUAGUGUGCUGGUUACGCGUAGCAUCCUGGUUAUGUGAGGCAUGCUGGUUAGGAGCUCUAGGCUCAGGAUCUUGAUUCUGCCCUCUUUGGUUGCAUGAGCUGUGCAAGCUGCUUAACAUCUUUCAGGCUAACUUUCUAUAUUUGUAAAAUGGGAAACAGACUUCUUAGGAAGAUUUUAAGAGAUGUCUUACAGGACCUGGCAGAUAUAUGCUCAAUAAAAAGUAAACUAGCUGGUGUUGCUGCUGUUGCUCUUACUGUUGUUUUUAUUGACUUGAAUAAAGGAAUCUUGCACCUGUCAAAAUGAAACACUACAUAGUAGGUCCUGAUAUUUUGCCAUACUCAGCUGGUGAUAAGAAUCAGAGAAGCCAGCCAUUUGAAUAACUAUGAUUUAUUGAAUUCUUACCAUGUUCUAAGUUCUUUAUGUAUACUGUUUCGUUUAAUCUUCACAACAAUUCUAGGAGUCAGGUUCAAUUGUUAUUGCCAUUUGAUAGAUGAUGAGGGCAAUGAGUCUUAGAGAGGUUAAAUAAUUUGCUAAAGGCCACACAGCCUGUAAAGUGGCAGAAGCUGGGACCAUCCAACUCUAAAGCCCACAUUCUUAGACAUUAGGGGAUAUUGAAUGAAGUGUGUGUAUGUAUGGGGGAAUUUAAGAGAAUAUCAAACCAUUUGUAGAGUUCUACCCAAUAUAGAGACCUUAUCUAAUGUAAGAGAACUCUGAAGACAUCUCAUUGAUUGAAUGCUCUCCCCUUCAUAGCAACUUCUUCUGCGGCUUCCUUGCCUGGUGCUCCAGUCUUUGAGGGAAGCACGGCUGGCACGUUCUUCCGUUUGGAGACAUGGUUGACAAUUUCUCCAUAAUGGGGACACAACUGGCAAUUUUCCUACAGAGUGAGGCAGAUGGCAAUUUUCCUUCAGAGACAUGCAGGCAACAGUUUUGCCCCUGGAGAGAAAAGCCUCGCCGAUUGAGAUGCAGCCAGUAAUUUUUACUAUACAGAAGACACAUCCAAUAAUUUUGCCCAGUGAGAGAAACGGCCAACAAUUUUCCCACAGAGGACAGGAAAAACAGACCAAAAAUUCAUAGUGGGGAGAAGUGAGGAGCAAAUGGGCUGGUAUGACCAAGAAAGACUUAAUAAGAAGCUGAGCCUUAAAUGAUCAAGAAGCACUGGAUAGAUAAGAGCACUGUUCACAAUAGCCAAGAUUUGGAAGCAACCUAAGUGUUCACCAACUGAUGAAUGGAUAAAGAAAA
rnacentral:lncRNA from 1 species